rnacentral:lncRNA from 1 species
UAAAAAGUAAAGCAACAACAAAAACUGACAAAAAAAAACCGACUCCGACGAAAUUUAAAAACGGAAAGUCCUUAAAAGAGGGACGAAAGAUACCAAAGGGACAGUCAAACUCAUAAAUCCAAAACAACUGACAACGCCAUGGCUAAAAACGAAAAAGACAAACAAACAACAGCACACACGACACAACAUAGAAAACCAAAGAAUAAACAACACGAACCCCACC